AAGGCGAGAAGACCCUGUGGAGCUUAAGUCGCACAACUCAACACAUACUAACAUCCAACCUAUUGGAACAAACUGUAUAAGCUACUGAGUUAUAGUCUUUGGUUGGGGUGACCUCGGAGCAUAAAACAACCUCCGAAUGAAUAUAACCUAGAUUAACCAAUCUAAGUGUAAUAAUACCAGUAAUUGGCCCAUCUCUUGAUUAACGGAACAAGUUAUCCCAGGGAUAACAGCACAAUCCUAUUUGAGAGCCCAUAUUGAAAAUUAGGGUUUACGACCUCGAUAUUGGAUCAGGACAUCCAAAUGGUGCAACCGCUAUUAAAGGUUUGUUUGUUCAAGGAUUAAAGUCCUAUGUGAUCUGAGUUCAGACCAGAGAAAUCCAGGUUGGUUUCUAUCU
rnacentral:ncRNA from 1 species